rnacentral:rRNA from 1 species
GACGAACGCUGGCGGCGUGCUUAACACAUGCAAGUCGAACGAUGUGGCGAACGGGUGAGUAACGCGUAAUAAACCUGCCCUUCAGAGGGGGACAACAGUUGGAAACGACUGCUAAUACCGCAUACUGAAGGAGGGGAUUGCGUCUGAUUAGCUAGUUGGAGGGGUAACGGCCCACCAAGGCGAUGAUCAGGAGCCGGUCUGAGCGGAUGAACGGCCACAUUGGGACUGAGACACGGCCCAGGCUCCUACGGGAGGCAGCAGUGGGGAAUCUUCCGCAAUGGACGGAAGUCUGACGGAGCAACGCCGCGUGAGUGGUGACGGCCUUCGGGUUGUAAAGCUCUGUUAAUCGGGACGCGGUACCGGAAGAGAAAGCCACGGCUAACUACGUGCCAGCAGCCGCGGUAAUAC